rnacentral:rRNA from 1 species
UACGUAGGGACCAAGCGUUGUUCGGAUUUACUGGGCGUAAAGGGCGCGUAGGCGGCAAUUCAAGUCAGCUGUGAAAUCUCCGGGCUUAACUCGGAACGGUCAGCUGAUACUGCUUUGCUAGAGUACAGAAGGGGCAAUCGGAAUUCUUGGUGUAGCGGUGAAAUGCGUAGAUAUCAAGGAGGAACACCUGAGGUGAAGACGGGUUGCUGGGCUGAUACUGACGCUGAGGCGCGAAAGCUAGGGUAGCAAACGGG